rnacentral:rRNA from 1 species
GAUGAACGCUGGCGGCGUGCCUAACACAUGCAAGUCGAACGGAAUUUACAUGAAGCCUAGCGAUUGUAAAUUUAGUGGCGGACGGGUGAGUAACGCGUGGGUAACCUGCCUUGUACUGGGGGACAACAGUUGGAAACGACUGCUAAUACCGCAUAAGCGCACAGCUUCGCAUGAAGCAGUGUGAAAAACUCCGGUGGUACAAGAUGGACCCGCGUCUGAUUAGCUGGUUGGUGGGGUAACGGCCCACCAAGGCGACGAUCAGUAGCCGGCCUGAGAGGGUGAACGGCCACAUUGGGACUGAGACACGGCCCAAACUCCUACGGGAGGCAGCAGUGGGGAAUAUUGCACAAUGGGGGAAACCCUGAUGCAGCGACGCCGCGUGGAGGAAGAAGGUCUUCGGAUUGUAAACUCCUGUUGUUGAGGAAGNUAAUGACGGUACUCAACAAGGAAGUGACGGCUAACUACGUGCCAGCAGCCGCGGU